AUUGAACGCUGGCGGCAGGCCUAACACAUGCAAGUCGAACGAGUGGCGGACGGGUGAGUAAUGUCUGGGAAACUGCCCGCUGGAGGGGGAUAACUACUGGAAACGGUAGAUAAUACCGCAUACCAUCGGAUGUGCACAGAUGGGAGUAGCUAGUGGGUGGGUUAAUGGAUCACCUAGGCGACGAUCCCUAGCUGGUCUGAGAGGAUGACCCAGCACUCUGUAACUGGGACACGGUCCAGACUCCGACGGGAGGCAGCGUUGGGGAAUAUUCCAAAAGGAGCGCAAGGCUGAUGCAGUCAUGGGGGGUGUAUGAAGAAGGCCUUCGGGUUGUAGAGUACGUUCAGCUUGGAGGCGUUACCCGAAGAAGAAGCACCGGCUAACUCCGUGCCAGCAGCCGCGGUAAUAC
rnacentral:rRNA from 1 species